rnacentral:rRNA from 1 species
GUUUUUUUAGAAAUAAAUUUAAUUUACAAGUUUUUAAUUUUUUGUUUAUUUAUUAAAUUAAAAAAAUUAUUAAUUUGAAUAUUUUAAGGGAUAAGCUUUAAAAUAAAUUAUUAAAAAUUAGUAAUUUUAAUAUAAAAUGUAUGAAUAGAAUUUUUAAUCAUUUAUAAGUUUGUUAUAAAUUAUUUUAUAAUUUAUAUUAUUUACUAUUGUUUUAAAUUUUUAUAAAAAUGUUUUCAUAAAUUUUUCAUGAAAAUUAAUAAUGAUAAAAUUAGUAUAUUUAUGUUGUAUAUAUAAUUUUAUUUGAUAAGUUUAUAUAAAGAACUCGGCAAAUUUAUAUACUCGCCUGUUUAACAAAAACAUGUCUUUUUGAGUUAUUUUUAAAGUCUAGCCUGCCCACUGAAUAAUUUUAAAUGGCCGCAGUAUUUUAACUGUGCAAAGGUAGCAUAAUCAUUAGUCUUUUAAUUGAAGGCUGGUAUGAAUGGUUGGACGAAGUAUAAGCUGUUUCAUUUAAAUUUAUUAUAGAAUUUUAUAUUUUAGUUAAAAAGCUAAAAUUUAAUUAAAAGACGAGAAGACCCUAUAAAUCUUUAUAUUUAAUAUUAUUUUAAUUUUUUAGAUACAUUUUAUUUUAAUAUUAUUAAAUAUUUUGUUGGGGUGAUGUUAAAAUUUAAUAAACUUUUAAUUAUAAAAAUCAUUAAUUUAUGAUUUAUUGAUCCUUUAAUAAAGAUUAUAAGAUUAAGUUACUUUAGGGAUAACAGCGUAAUUUUUUUGGAGAGUUCUUAUUGAUAAAAAAGUUUGCGACCUCGAUGUUGGAUUAAGAUAUAUUUUUAGGUGUAGUAGCUUAAAUAUU